UCGAGAAUUUUUCUCAAUGGGGGAAACCCUGAAGGAGCGACGCCGCGUGGGGGAUGAAUGGCUUCGGCCCGUAAACCCCUGUCAUUUGCGAUCAAACCUUACGACCUAACACGUCGUAAGCUGAUAGUAGCGGAAGAGGAAGGGACGGCUAACUCUGUGCCAGCAGCCGCGGUAAUACAGAGGUCCCAAGCGUUGUUCGGAUUCACUGGGCGUAAAGGGUGCGUAGGCGGUCGGGUAAGUCUGACGUGAAAUCUUCGAGCCUAACUCGGAAACUGCGUCGGAUACUAUUCGGCUAGAGGAAUGGAGGGGAGACUGGAAUACUUGGUGUAGCAGUGAAAUGCGUAGAUAUCAAGUGGAACACCAGUGGCGAAGGCGAGUCUCUGGACAUUUCCUGACGCUGAGGCACGAAAGCCAGGGGAGCAAACGGGAUUAGAUACCCCGGUAGUCCCUGAGCGGGCUGGCAAGGCGCAU
rnacentral:rRNA from 1 species